rnacentral:ncRNA from 1 species
CGCGAUGGACGACCAUCAUGCGGAUCGCAUUUUGGCGGGACGACCUGC